rnacentral:lncRNA from 1 species
AUGAGUUGCGUGGCUCACGUACUUUCUGGGGUUCCUAGAAGGCAAGGGGGAAGUUUGGGCUGCGCCUCGGCCGGGGGCGGGGGAGAAACCCUGCCGUCACCUCUCGCUGCCCAGCCUUCGAGGCUCGGGCACCCCAGGACCGCGCUGCGGAGCCUCGGGGCCCUUCCCGGGAGCCGCCAAGCGCAGCCAGGCUGCAGCAGGGACAGAGCGGCUCCCUACAAUCGCCAACGGUCCCGGAGUCCCCGGGCCACCUGGCACGCUGCCGCAGGGAGCAGCGAGGGAAAGCACCAAGUGCUGCAAAGCUGGAGGCGACGCCGGGGCAGGGAACCAUCCCCGUCCCCACGUGCGCCCCAGCCCCCAUGGAGGCGCGGAGCGAGCACGGGGGGGGCCGCAUGCCGGGCCGGAGCAGCUGAGCCUCCGGCACAUCCAGACGGCCGCCUGCCACCCCCGCAGGCCACAGCUUCCCCUCCGCUUCUGCAGAACAGGGCGAGCGACCGCGGAGGGGAAGACCCGGCGCAAAGGCCAGGGCUGCCCCUCGGAGCAUCGGCGAGAGCGGAGGCAGCGGCGCGGUACCUAGAACCGGAGGGGCGAGGUGAGCGAGGCUGGGGAUGCACCACGCUCAGAAAGCCCCCGCGUGGGGCUGGGCGGAGGAGCCGGGAUGGGAGCAGCCAGCGCUGCCCCGGAGGACGCAAGGCUCUGGGAGCAGAGGGAGUCCCGGCAGCACCAGCGGCAGGGCAGCGUGGCUGGGCCGGCGCAGCGACGGAGCCUUUGGCCCUGCGGGAUGGGGCUCUGCUCCCCCCGGCCCUGGUGGCCCGGCUGGACCCCGGCUCCAGCCCCAGGAGCAGCAGCACACGUGCAGCGAGGGCAGACGUCCCCCAGCCCGGCCAGACCCCGCCGGCGCGGACACCACCUCGCCCUGCAAUUACCGACUCCAGGCCGGGAGCAAAGGUCACAAAACUUUAUACAGGCGAAACCCGCAGCAGCCCCGCGGCCCCUGGGGAGCUGCUCCCCCGAGCGGUGCGGGGAGCCGGACGGCAGGGCCUGGCCCCCGCCGCCGGAGCAGCCCCGGGUGGAGGGAGCCCGGCAGGGAGCUCCAGCGCAACGCGCCGGCACGGGGCCCCCCCUCCGCCG